AUUGAACGCUGGCGGCAUGCUUUACACAUGCAAGUCGAACGGUAACAGGCCGCAAGGUGCUGACGAGUGGCGAACGGGUGAGUAAAGUAUCGGAACGUACCUUUCAGUGGGGGAUAACGUAGCGAAAGUUACGCUAAUACCGCAUAUUCUGUGAGCAGGAAAGCAGGGGAUCGCAAGACCUUGCGCUGAUUGAGCGGCCGAUAUCAGAUUAGCUAGUUGGUGGGGUAAAGGCCUACCAAGGCGACGAUCUGUAGCGGGUCUGAGAGGAUGAUCCGCCACACUGGAACUGAGACACGGUCCAGACUCCUACGGGAGGCAGCAGUGGGGAAUUUUGGACAAUGGGGGCAACCCUGAUCCAGCCAUGCCGCGUGAGUGAAGAAGGCCUUCGGGUUGUAAAGCUCUUUCGGCCGGGAAGAAAUCGCAUGGGCUAAUACCCUGUGUGGAUGACGGUACCGGAAUAAGAAGCACCGGCUAACUACGUGCCAGCAGCCGCCGCCGUAA
rnacentral:rRNA from 1 species